rnacentral:rRNA from 1 species
UACGGAGGAUCCGAGCGUUAUCUGGAUUUAUUGGGUUUAAAGGGUGCGCAGGCGGGAGAUUAAGUCGGCGGUGAAAUUUUGCAGCUUAACUGUAACAGUGCCGUUGAUACUGGGGAGCUAGGAUUUGGUUGCUGUGGGUGGAAUGUGUGGUGUAGCGGUGAAAUGCUUAGAGAUCACACAGAAUAUCGAUUGCGAAGGCAGCUCACAAAGCCAAGAUUGACGCUGAGGCACGAAAGUGUGGGGAUCAAACAGGA